GACGAACGCUGGCGGCGUGCCUAAUACAUGCAAGUAGAACGCACAGUUUAUACCGUAGCUUGCUACACCAUAAACUGUGAGUUGCGAACGGGUGAGUAACGCGUAGGUAACCUGCCUGGUAGCGGGGGAUAACUAUUGGAAACGAUAGCUAAUACCGCAUAAUAUUGAUUAUUGCAUGAUAAUUGAUUGAAAGAUGCUAUUGCAUCACUACCAGAUGGACCUGCGUUGUAUUAGCUAGUAGGUGAGGUAACGGCUCACCUAGGCGACGAUACAUAGCCGACCUGAGAGGGGGAUCGGCCACACUGGGACUGAGACACGGCCCAGACUCCUACGGGAGGCAGCAGUAGGGAAUCUUCGGCAAUGGACGAAAGUCUGACCGAGCAACGCCGCGUGAGUGAAGAAGGUUGUCGGAUCGUAAAGCUCGGUUGUAAGAGAAGAACGGGUGUGAGAGUGGAAAGUUCACACUGUGACGGUAGCUGACCAGAAAGGGACGGCUAACUACGUG
rnacentral:rRNA from 1 species